UGACACAUAAAUACAUGGAAAGUGAGAAGGAUCCAUGAUCUGCAACCUUGUUCAUACAGAAUCACCUAUUGGACCAAAUAGUUCUAUACUGUGGAAAACCUGCUUUGACCUGGCAAGUUACCAUGUUUCUGAAGACCAGGGAGUAUGAGAAACAACACUUGAGGAAAAGUACAGUUAAGAGUAUAAGUUCCUGUCUCACAUCCCUUUAAUGGCCAGUUUUCUAAUGUGCUCAGUACAUCCUGAUAGGUUCCAAGAGAGAUCACCUUUUGUUCAUAGCAGAUAUUAAAUUGUGCAUCCAGACCUCUUUAUUUUAUUUUUCAUAUCAACUGCCUCUACAAUAUGCUUCUCCAUUCAAACUGUUUCCUGAUGGGGAUCAAUGAAAACAAGCCAAAAUUGUUACCUUUAUGGAUCUAGGACACUGUAGUUACUUUAUAUAAUAAAAUCUCUUGAAUUAUCAAU